UGAUCGCCGUGCGUUCAGUAUUGUGUUAACUGCGUUCCGCCGGUCACAAUCUUGACCUAAAACGAAUGGAACUGUGGGAACGUUACAUUUGAAAACCUAGGUGGAUCUGUGGGCAGAGGAAGUGAUACCAACUUAUCGACAUUGAGGCCACUGCCAUUUUAUUACCAGCCAGUGACCAGAGCAGCGGUUUAUAACUUUUUAAAAUUACUAACCAGUGACUUGCGUAUUUUUUUAAUUGUUGGUGGCCAGUGUUUUUUUUAUAAAAUCCGUCAAGUGUGUUUUGUUUUUGUGUUCGUUUGAAUGUUUCGUAAUGUAUUCUCGGACUUUAUGGAUUUUGGUGCUGGUGAUUUUUACUGACGCGAUAAAGGUU